UACGUAGGGGGCAAGCGUUGUCCGGAGUUACUGGGCGUAAAGCGCCCGCAGGCGGUUGCGUAAGCAAGCGGUGACAGCUCCUCGCUUAACGAGGGGAGUGCCGCCUGGACUGCGUGACUUGAGGGCCAGAGAGGGACAUGGAACUCCGGGUGGAGUGGUGAAAUGCGUAGAGAUCCGGAAGAACACCAAAGGCGAAGGCAGUGUCCUGGCUGGCCCCUGACGCUCAGGGGCGAAAGCGAGGGGAG
rnacentral:rRNA from 1 species